rnacentral:tRNA from 2 species
AGAAGUUUAGGUUAAAUCAAACCAAAGGCCUUCAAAGCCUUAAACACGAGCCACCAGCCUCAUAACUUCUG